rnacentral:rRNA from 1 species
CUACGGGACGCUCCAGUGAGGAAUAUUGCACAAUGGGGGGAACCCUGAUGCAGCAACGCCGCGUGGAGGAUGACGCAUUUCGGUGUGUAAACUCCUUUUAUAUGUCAAGAAAAUGACGGUAGCAUAUGAAUAAGCACCGGCUAACUCCGUGCCAGCAGCCGCGGUAAUACGGAGGGUGCAAGCGUUACUCGGAAUCACUGGGCGUAAAGGACGCGUAGGCGGGUUGGAAAGUCAGGUGUGAAAUCCUACAGCUUAACUGUAGAACUGCACUUAAAACUUCUAAUCUAGAGUAUGGGAGGGGGAGAUGGAAUUAGUGGUGUAGGGGUAAUAUCCGUAGAUAUCACUAGGAAUACCUAAAGCGAAGGCGAUCUCCUGGAACAUUACUGACGCUAAGGCGUGAAAGCGUGGGGAGCAAACAGGAUUAGAUACCCCCGUAGUC